UUUCAACACACACUUAUCCUUGUUCCCUGGACUUAUCUUUCAGCAUUAGGAAGCAGAAGUUUGACAUUGUCUUUGUCAGACAAUGCAAGGAAACGUAGAAUUAUCACAUUAUGGUGAUAUAUUCGUGCAUUAUGCUCCCCAAACUGUCAGCAUGUGGGCUUGCCUUUAUCACUGUCUCUGUGAAAUGGAUUCGAGUCAAACCCUCAUACUUCCUCCUCUGAAAGGACUUUUAAGACCUUGACCAAAAGGCAAAUCGGGGCAUUCUUGUCACUCUCCACUAAUUGAUUGAGAAGUUUCAAUCAACAGCUCAAGUUAAAAGGACCUGAAGAUCAAAACUACGAUCGCCGUCAGUGUGACUCUUCUUUUAAGCAUGUUUUGCCAUUUUUAAGUUAUUCCACAGCAAAUUAUUAAACAGUCAAAGACAUCUCUAAACCCACCAGCACAGGAACUUGGGUUGUGAAAGGUAAGUAUUUAGGGAUACAAGAUGGUCUUCUAUAUUUUCUAUUACACUUUUAGACUUUCUCCACUAUCAACAAAUAAAAUGCUGACAUUAAAACAUAAAAGAAAAUCACUCCUGGGAGAGGGAGAAGCUGAGUAAGCAGAAGACAACCCGGCACAUUCCAGUGCACAGCCAGAACAUCCCUGAUUCCUCUUUGCCCUUUGAGCUCCUGGUGCACGGUGGCCCCACCACCAGAUUCCUCAGCGUAUCUUUUGGCCUGGCCUCUCUUCUGACCUCAGAGGCCCCAGACCCACAGCUGCACACAGAGCCGUCCAGACGGCUCCCUGACACAUCUGAGCUCCUCUGGCCUGCUGUGGUCCCAGGCUCGUCAACACACUUUCCCUUCCUAUCUCACUUCCCCAUUCCCCUGUCAGUACUUCCUGAGAUCGCCUUGCACUCAAAUCAGCACAGUUGUCAGAUGCCUCCUUCAAGAAGAACCCAAACCACAAGAUACGCCAUGCCAAUGAACCCACUCAUCUCCUGCAUCCGGUCCACCUGGACACACAGCUUCCCUGUUUGGUUACCAGGCAACCAGAUUCAGUGCUUCCUGGCUAUGUGACCUUGGUCGACUGUCAACUCUACUCCGUGCUUCCAUUUUCCCAUCCAUAAAGGGGAAGGGACAGUUCCUACGAGUUGCUGUAAGAAUUAAAUGAGAUCAUUUAUAGAAAGGUCUUAGAAUGGCUCCCGAUACAGAAAUUGCUCAAUAUAUGUUAAUUAUUAUUAUCAUUAACUUGGGGAAAUCGGUCUUGGAUGCAGUGUGAAAUGGUUAGGAGCAGGUGGAAAUUAGAGCCAAGAAAGAGCUGAUGCACCAGCCUAGGAGGAGAGACAGAAGGACAGAAAGAUGCAGCAAGCACAGACUCGAAGUUUCCAGCCUCAGAGGCAGGCAGCAUAGAGGGGAGAGGAAAGUUUUCCGAGAUAGGCAAAUUCGCAAUUAAAUUCCGGCUCCACCAUUUAUAAACUGUGUUUCCUUAAACUAACCAUUCUAGCCUCAAUUUCCUCAUCUGUAAAAUGGGGGUAGUAAUGUUCUUUGAUUGAAUCACUGUGCUUCUAAAUGAAUUCAUGGAAAGCCCCGGGAGUGUCAUACUGCAUGUAGUAAACAGUGAAUUGGCAUUCCCUUGUCUCCCUCUUGAAAUAAAAAAAUCCAAAAACUGUGAUGCAAAUAAAGGGAUCUAAGUCCUUCUUUUAGCAUACUGUUGUUUUGAUCCACAUUGACAACUUCCUGACCAGCACACU